rnacentral:rRNA from 1 species
GUCCACGCUGUAAACGAUGAGUGCUAGAUAUCGGGAUUUUAUUUCGGUGUCGUAGCUAACGUAUUAAGCACUCCGCCUGGGGAGUACGGUCGCAAGAUUAAAACUCAAAGGAAUUGACGGGGGCCCGCACAAGCGGUGGAUUAUGCGGUUUAAUUCGAUGCAACGCGAAAAACCUUACCAACCCUUGACAUGGUGGUCGUACUUACGAGAGAUCGUUCGGUCAGUUCGGCUGGACCACACACAGGUGUUGCAUGGCUGUCGU